rnacentral:rRNA from 1 species
UACGAACUGUGCAAGCGUUAUUCGGAAUCACUGGGCUUAAAGGGUGCGUAGGCGGCUUGCCAAGUAGGGUGUGAAAGCCCCCGGCUUAACCGGGGAAUUGCGCCCUAAACUGGCGAACUGGAGUGAGAUAGGGGUGUGUGGAACUUCCGGUGGAGCGGUGAAAUGUGUUGAUAUCGGAAGGAACGCCGGUGGCGAAAGCGACACACUGGGUCUAAACUGACGCUGAGGCACGAAAGCCAGGGGAGCGAACGGG